UUCUAAAGGUUUUAUCAUUGGAGAAGUACGAUGCUGGAGUAGACUGGUGGUCAUUUGGUGUCAUCAUGUACGAAAUCGCCACUGGCAGGCAGCCAUUUGCCACAUCACUUGUUCCUCUGAAGCUUGAUUUCCCAAGUCACAUGAACCAGGAAAUGCUCGGCCUUCUGACAUAGUUCGCUUCUGGAGAUGGACAAGAACAAACAUUUAGGAGUAAAUGGUAACAUCAGGGAACACACAUUCUAUGCUGGGAUCAACUGGAGAAAGCUAAAAAAUACAAAGCAACGAACACCUUCUGGCCCGAAAUUCCACCAGCAGGUAAGUUAAGAGAAAUUCAACCAGGAUUCGGCGCUGAGACCCCCAAGAAAGAUAAGGUGGAAGACCUGUCCUACAGUAUGUGGAUUCCAACUGGAAGGAGUAAAGCAUUGUCUGUGCUUAUGUGGAAGAACAUGAAACUGCCUGUACAGCAAGUGAUCAUGGCAACAUACCAUCCAUGGGUAUGUCCAUCUAUCAAUGUCAGAUCUGCUAUCUACAACUGUCUGCUGCAAGUGUUUGCCUCUAGAACCAACCACAACAGCACCUUGACUGAAAGGAGUAGACAAAUAUUAUGGAAGGCUAUACCACCUCAAGAAAAGCAGAGCUGCAAGCUGGAUUUUACCAUUCGAUUUUUGACAAGCUCCCAAUGGAUCUUUGGAUAAGGAAAAACGUCAAUGUGUGUGUUAUUGUAGAUAUCCCAAUAGGGAACUUUUGUUUCUUACACCUCCCAGUCUAAACUAAGGAAGAAGGGUCCAAUAACGGCUUAUAUCAGCCAGUGCCUAGCAAGCUAGGAAACUAUUGCUCAAGUGAGCUGUUUGCUGCAAUAGGUGUGUAAAUGGACAUUUUCCUUGAUGUGGCGUUACUGCUCACAUGUAUAUAAAAACAUAACAUUCUGUUACCCUGCCCUGGUAAAAAUUGCAU